UACGGGAGGCAGCAGUGGGGAAUAUUGGGCAAUGGGCGAAACCCUGACCCAGCAACGCCGCGUGAGGGAAGAAGGUUUUCGGAUCGUAAACCUCUGUCCUUGGUGAAGAGGAAGAGACGGUAGCCAAGGAGGAAGCCCCGGCUAACUACGUGCCAGCAGCCGCGGUAAU
rnacentral:rRNA from 1 species